ACGCGCGCCAGCACGGCGGCCAUCCACGCGGCGCUGGCGUCGCCGCAGGCGCACGACGAACGCGCGUUGCAGCGCGCCCGCGCGUUC
rnacentral:tRNA from 1 species